rnacentral:lncRNA from 1 species
UCUCCCUCCCUUAUCUCCAAGUGGGUGACACACACAUGGAUCUCAUCCAUGUGGGUGUGCACCCACUCAUCAUGGUGAAGAAACCAUGUGGGGUGCCAACUCCAACCUAAUCUGAUUAGGUGGUUAAUAAUACUUGGGUGCACCAACUCUUGGUGCCCAAUUAGUACUUGCUUCGACUUGGUUGAGCCCUAACCAAUAGGAGACCCAAAUCAAGUAGCAGAAAAUAGGUUUAACC